GACGAACGCUGGCGGCGUGCUUAAUACAUGCAAGUCGAGCGGUAAGGCCUUGUUCUUGUGGGGUGUUCGAGUGGCGAACGGGUGAGUGUAACGUGAGUAAACUGCGCCUUACAUCGGGGUAACUCCUGGGAACUCGAGUUAAUAUCGGACAUGAGCACCUUCUACACGGGGGGUGUGGGAAAGUUUCGCCGGUUGGGGAUGGAAACGCGGCUUAUCGGUGUGUUGGCGAGGUGGUGGCUUACAAAGGCUCUGACGGGUAGCCGGCCUGAGAGGGUGACCGGCCACAUUGGGACUGGGAUACGGCCCAGAGUCCUACGGGAGGCAGCAGUGGGGAAUAUUGCAAGAUGGGCGGAAGCCUGAUGCAGCAACGCCGCGUGCGGGAUGACGGCCUUCGGGUUGUAAACCGCUUUCGCCUGUGACGAAGCGUGAGUGACGGUAAUGGGUAAAGAAGCACCGGCUAACUACGUG
rnacentral:rRNA from 1 species